ACUAUAUAUACACCAGAUCUCAUUUGACUUCAGGUGCUAAGCAGGAUCAGCCCUGGUUAGUACUUGGAUGGGAGACUUCCAGGAGCACCAGAAA
rnacentral:rRNA from 1 species